AUUGAACGCUGGCGGAAUGCUUUACACAUGCAAGUCGAGCGGCAGCGCGGGGCAACCUGGCGGCGAGCGGCGAACGGGUGAGUAAUGCAUCGGAACGUACCCCGUCGUGGGGGAUAACUACCCGAAAGGGUAGCUAAUACCGCAUACGACCUGAGGGUGAAAGCGGGGGACCGAAAGGCCUCGCGCGAUGGGAGCGGCCGAUGCCGGGUUAGCUAGUUGGUAGGGUAAAGGCCUACCAAGGCGACGAUCCGUAGCUGGUCUGAGAGGACGACCAGCCACACUGGAACUGAGACACGGUCCAGACUCCUACGGGAGGCAGCAGUGGGGAAUUUUGGACAAUGGGCGAAAGCCUGAUCCAGCCAUUCCGCGUGAGUGAAGAAGGCCUGG
rnacentral:rRNA from 1 species